ACAGGUCUAUCUAUCUAUCUAUCUAUCUGUCUAUCUGUCUAUCUGUCUAGUUCUUUUAAAGAAAACAAAUAGCAAAAAAUGUUCUUUUCUGAAGAAAUAUAUAUUUAAAGAGAAUAUGGAAUGACUGAGCGUUCUGAAUUGAUCUACUACAAACUCCCAGAAGCAGCUCCCGUGUGUCGACUGUGUUCCUUCAACAGGAAGAGCAGCGCGAAAAGAGUGAGAGAGACGCUCACCAGUUUACUGUUUAGAAAUGCAAUGAAAAAAUACCAUUAAAAAAUACAAUCACUCGUUUACCAUGAUGUGCUCCUCUUUCAUAUUGGAGAAUGUGAGGUCUACACAGUGAUGGGGAUGCAGAUCAGAUCCAGGUUUACCAUGAUGUGCUCCUCUUUCAUAUUGGAGAAUGUGAGAUCUACACAGUGGUGGGGAUGAUAUCAGAUCCAGGUUUAUCAUGAUGUGCUCCUCUUUCAUAUUGGAGAAUGUGAGAUCUACACAGUGAUGGGGAUGAUAUCAGAUCCAGGUUUACCAUGAUGUGCUCCUCUUUCAUAUUGGAGAAUGUGAGGUCUACACAGUGAUGGGGAUGCAGAUCAGAUCCAGGUUUACCAUGAUGUGCUCCUCUUUCAUAUUGGAGAAUGUGAGGUCUACACAGUGAUGGGGAUGAUAUCAGAUCCAGGUUUACCAUGAUGUGCUCCUCUUUCAUAUUGGAGAAUGUGAGAUCUACACAGUGGUGGGGAUGAUAUCAGAUCCAGGUUUAUCAUGAUGUGCUCCUCUUUCAUAUUGGAGAAUGUGAGAUCUACACAGUAUGGGGAUGAUAUCAGAUCCAGGUUUACCAUGAUGUGCUCCUCUUUCAUAUUGGAGAAUGUGAGGUCUACACAGUGGUGGGGAUGAUAUCAGAUCCAGGUUUACCAUGAUGUGCUCCUCUUUCAUAUUGGAGAAUGUGAGGUCUACACAGUGAUGGGGAUGCAGAUCAGAUCCAGGUUUACCAUGAUGUGCUCCUCUUUCAUAUUGGAGAAUGUGAGGUCUACACAGUGAUGGGGAUGCAGAUCAGAUCCAGGUUUACCAUGAUGUGCUCCUCUUUCAUAUUGGAGAAUGUGAGGUCUACACAGUGAUGGGGAUGAGAUCAGAUCCAGGUUUACCAUGAUGUGCUCCUCUUUCAUAUUGGAGAAUGUGAGGUCUACACAGUGAUGGGGAUGAUAUCAGAUCCAGGUUUACCAUGAUGUGCUCCUCUUUCAUAUUGGAGAAUGUGAGGUCUACACAGUGAUGGGGAUGAUAUCAGAUCCAGGUUUACCAUGAUGUGCUCCUCUUUCAUAUCGGAGAAUGUGAGGUCUACACAGUGAUGGGGAUGAUAUCAGAUCCAGGUUUACCAUGAUGUGCUCCUCUUUCAUAUUGGAGAAUGUGAGGUCUACACAGUGAUGGGGAUG